rnacentral:lncRNA from 1 species
CGGGAUCAAAGCACCUCACCCAUAUGGCUGUAGUCCGGGAUGUGCAGCUCGUUGCGAAGGACGUUCCGCAGCCUCUUCUUCUGCUCGGCAAUGUCUCGCGUCGCAGCAAGAACAUCGUUACCACCUGCACGCCGCAUUACCAAAGCGCCGUACGGUUUUUUACUACUACCAUACGGAAAUCCCAUGUCAAUCCUUUUACAAUCCUAAAUGGCGUUUUUAGUCCCUAGCGUGCCAUGUUGAGGUUAAGAGCGAGCAAAGCGUGUACCUGACACCAUGACCACAGGCGCCCUCACGUCCUCCAGUUUGUACUGCAGCCAUUCAGCAUCCGGGGGGGUUUAGGGUUUUUAAGGGAAGGUUAGGGCUGCAUCGGACAGGGCACUGUUCCUGCUGGGCAGUCCAGCGUCGCAAGUGUCACGUCACAUGGCGUGCAGAAGACUCGGGGCUCAGGGCUUUUAGCCCAAACAUUCAAGCAUCGGUUGGCACAUUGCUGACGAUAGCUAUUGGAUGGAUGCGUGUAAUACAGGCACGCUGCGGUCGCUCAUACACACACAUACACUCUCUCUCCCCGAUGACCCGGUCGUCUCUCAUGCACGCAUGGCAUGAUGGCGCACAGGUGCAUGCAGGGCCGCUUCCUGGCAGGAAUCCCUUCUGUAGCCCCCGUCUUCACCUCCGGCCCGUAGCCAUAAUGGAAAAAUCUGGUUCCUGGCUCAUUGUAGAUCUGCGGGCGCGUGAGGUCACCGGCGACAACUUGGGUCCCUUUUUGCUCGUUGGGGGGAUAACAG